AAGGGGAAUAAGCCAUAGGAAAAGCUGCUAACUUAUUCUUAAAGCGGUUUAAUUCCGUUUUUCCCUUC
rnacentral:tRNA from 1 species